AUGCCUCAGAUCUGGGACGCGCAGCUCAGCACACCACAACCCAACCUUUCCUUCGCUGCAGCCGGAACAGCGCCACGCGCGGUUGCCCUCGCUCUUGCGCGGAGCCAGGAGACUCGUCACCACGCGUCGGGAACGCGCCCAGCACGCCCUCCGCGCAUCGACAUUGGUCCACAGGCCCAUCCGCCUGCCAGAUCCCGGACAACACCACUUCACGCUCCCGAGCAGCGAACGACGUCGCCUCGCGUCAGUCGGAGAUGCGCCCCGCCGCCGCCGUCCCUGGAUCCUAGCCGAGCUUCGCGGGCGGGCGCCUCUGGCGGCGGCGAGACGGGCAGGAGUACGAGAGUACUAGGUGGCGGCGGUAGGGUUUCACCCCCCGAGUCGCCAGAGGGCGACGCGGUGGGACGGCAGUUGUCUCAGACUGAACAAUACAACCCCUAUGUUUAA
rnacentral:rRNA from 1 species